GGGUUGUGAGGUUAAGCGACUAAGCGUACACGGUGGAUGCCCUGGCAGUCAGAGGCGAUGAAGGGCGUGCUAAUCUGCGAUAAGCGCCGGUAAGGUGAUAUGAACCGUUAUAACCGGCGAUACCCGAAUGGGGAAACCCAGUGUGACUCGUCACACUAUCAUUAACUGAAUCCAUAGGUUAAUGAGGCGAACCGGGGGAACUGAAACAUCUAAGUACCCCGAGGAAAAGAAAUCAACCGAGAUUCCCCCAGUAGCGGCGAGCGAACGGGGAGGAGCCCAGAGCCUGAAUCAGCAUGUGUGUUAGUGGAAGCGUCUGGAAAGGCGCGCGAUACAGGGUGACAGCCCCGUACACAAAAGCGCAUGUGCUGUGAGCUCGAUGAGUAGGGCGGGACACGUGGUAUCCUGUCUGAAUAUGGGGGGACCAUCCUCCAAGGCUAAAUACUCCUGACUGACCGAUAGUGAACCAGUACCGUGAGGGAAAGGCGAAAAGAACCCCGGCGAGGGGAGUGAAAAAGAACCUGAAACCGUGUACGUACAAGCAGUGGGAGCCCCACCACUAAGCCAGUGGUGAACUCCACAUACGCAUCCUUUGCUGAGGAUACGGUUAACGGAGCGAAAGCGACGUUCAACCGCAAAAGAAGCAGAGGGGGCUUAGUGGUGGGGUGACUGCGUACCUUUUGUAUAAUGGGUCAGCGACUUAUAUUCUGUAGCAAGGUUAACCGCAUAGGGGAGCCGCAGGGAAACCGAGUCUUAACCGGGCGUUAAGUUGCAGGGUAUAGACCCGAAACCCGGUGAUCUAGCCAUGGGCAGGUUGAAGGUUGGGUAACACUAACUGGAGGACCGAACCGACUAAUGUUGAAAAAUUAGCGGAUGACCUGUGGCUGGGGGUGAAAGGCCAAUCAAACCGGGAGAUAGCUGGUUCUCCCCGAAAGCUAUUUAGGUAGCGCCUCGUGAACUCAUCUUCGGGGGUAGAGCACUGUUUCGGCUAGGGGGUCAUCCCGACUUACCAACCCGAUGCAAACUGCGAAUACCGGAGAAUGUUAUCACGGGAGACACACGGCGGGUGCUAACGUCCGUCGUGAAGAGGGAAACAACCCAGACCGCCAGCUAAGGUCCCAAAGUCAUGGUUAAGUGGGAAACGAUGUGGGAAGGCCCAGACAGCCAGGAUGUUGGCUUAGAAGCAGCCAUCAUUUAAAGAAAGCGUAAUAGCUCACUGGUCGAGUCGGCCUGCGCGGAAGAUGUAACGGGGCUAAACCAUGCACCGAAGCUGCGGCAGCGAACGUAUCACUUAAAGCGAUUCAGCGGGUUACGAUUGACGGAGCGAAGCGACGUCAAAGCGUAUACAAAGUCGAGUCGGUUUAAGGAUACGUUCGUUGGGUAGGGGAGCGUUCUGUAAGCCUGUGAAGGUGGCCUGUGAGGGUUGCUGGAGGUAUCAGAAGUGCGAAUGCUGACAUAAGUAACGAUAAAGCGGGUGAAAAGCCCGCUCGCCGGAAGACCAAGGGUUCCUGUCCAACGUUAAUCGGGGCAGGGUGAGUCGACCCCUAAGGCGAGGCCGAAAGGCGUAGUCGAUGGGAAACGGGUUAAUAUUCCCGUACUUGGUGUUACUGCGAAGGGGGGACGGAGAAGGCUAUGUUGGCCGGGCGACGGUUGUCCCGGUUUAAGCGUGUAGGUGUGUGUUCCAGGUAAAUCCGGUUCACUUUAACACUGAGGCGUGACGACGAGGCACUACGGUGCUGAAGCAACAAAUGCCCUGCUUCCAGGAAAAGCCUCUAAGCAUCAGGUAACAUCAAAUCGUACCCCAAACCGACACAGGUGGUCAGGUAGAGAAUACCAAGGCGCUUGAGAGAACUCGGGUGAAGGAACUAGGCAAAAUGGUGCCGUAACUUCGGGAGAAGGCACGCUGACACGUAGGUGAAGUGAUUUACUCACGGAGCUGAAGUCAGUCGAAGAUACCAGCUGGCUGCAACUGUUUAUUAAAAACACAGCACUGUGCAAACACGAAAGUGGACGUAUACGGUGUGACGCCUGCCCGGUGCCGGAAGGUUAAUUGAUGGGGUCAGCGCAAGCGAAGCUCCUGAUCGAAGCCCCGGUAAACGGCGGCCGUAACUAUAACGGUCCUAAGGUAGCGAAAUUCCUUGUCGGGUAAGUUCCGACCUGCACGAAUGGCGUAAUGAUGGCCAGGCUGUCUCCACCCGAGACUCAGUGAAAUUGAACUCGCUGUGAAGAUGCAGUGUACCCGCGGCAAGACGGAAAGACCCCGUGAACCUUUACUAUAGCUUGACACUGAACAUUGAGCCUUGAUGUGUAGGAUAGGUGGGAGGCUUUGAAGCGUGGACGCCAGUCUGCGUGGAGCCGACCUUGAAAUACCACCCUUUAAUGUUUGAUGUUCUAACGUGGACCCGUAAUCCGGGUUGCGGACAGUGUCUGGUGGGUAGUUUGACUGGGGCGGUCUCCUCCUAAAGAGUAACGGAGGAGCACGAAGGUUGGCUAAUCCUGGUCGGACAUCAGGAGGUUAGUGCAAUGGCAUAAGCCAGCUUGACUGCGAGCGUGACGGCGCGAGCAGGUGCGAAAGCAGGUCAUAGUGAUCCGGUGGUUCUGAAUGGAAGGGCCAUCGCUCAACGGAUAAAAGGUACUCCGGGGAUAACAGGCUGAUACCGCCCAAGAGUUCAUAUCGACGGCGGUGUUUGGCACCUCGAUGUCGGCUCAUCACAUCCUGGGGCUGAAGUAGGUCCCAAGGGUAUGGCUGUUCGCCAUUUAAAGUGGUACGCGAGCUGGGUUUAGAACGUCGUGAGACAGUUCGGUCCCUAUCUGCCGUGGGCGCUGGAGAACUGAGGGGGGCUGCUCCUAGUACGAGAGGACCGGAGUGGACGCAUCACUGGUGUUCGGGUUGUCAUGCCAAUGGCACUGCCCGGUAGCUAAAUGCGGAAGAGAUAAGUGCUGAAAGCAUCUAAGCACGAAACUUGCCCCGAGAUGAGUUCUCCCUGAGACUUAGAGUCUCCUGAAGGAACGUUGAAGACGACGACGUUGAUAGGCCGGGUGUGUAAGCGCAGCGAUGCGUUGAGCUAACCGGUACUAAUGAACCGUGAGGCUUAACCUUACAACGCCGAAG
rnacentral:rRNA from 1 species